AGCCGCCAUCGACAACGUUCUGGAAAACCUCCAUGAGCUGCGGUUGCCAGUGAUGUCCCUGACCUGCUGCUGCCUGAGACCACUCUGUCCCGCUGCCGUCGGCCACAUCCCAAACUUGCAUCUGACAGGGCAUUUUGGUACGACGCAGUACAAGGUACAACGGUUGUGCAGGGCAUUUCUUCUCUGUUGGCCAGUGAAUGUGUCCAACUAUCAGUGGAUUUAUGAUACAUGCCUGCCUUUUGUUGUAUUAUUGUAUAGAAAAUGGAAACAGGUUGCCAGUGAAAGUGUCCAACUGUCAAUUGAUUUAUGAUAUGUGCUUGCUUUUUGUUGUGUAGAAAAUGAAAAUGGGUUGCUACUGAACGAAUGAACCUGAUUGAACAAAA